rnacentral:rRNA from 1 species
AUUGAACGCUGGCGGCAUGCCUUACACAUGCAAGUCGAACGGCAGCACGGGAGCUUGCUCCUGGUGGCGAGUGGCGAACGGGUGAGUAAUACAUCGGAACGUACCCAGGAGUGGGGGAUAACGUAGCGAAAGUUACGCUAAUACCGCAUAUUCUGCGAGCAGGAAAGCGGGGGAUCGCAAGACCUCGCGCUCUUGGAGCGGCCGAUGUCGGAUUAGCUAGUUGGUGAGGUAAAAGCUCACCAAGGCGACGAUCCGUAGCAGGUCUGAGAGGAUGAGCUGCCACGCCGGGACUGAGACAGGGCCCAGACUCCUACGGGAGGCAGCAGUGGGGAAUUUUGGACAAUGGGGGCAACCCGGAUCCAGCCAUGCCGCGUGAGUGAAGAAGGCCUUCGGGUUGUAAAGCUCUUUCGGCGGGGAAGAAAUGGCAACGGCUAAUAUCCGUUGUUGAUGACGGUACCCGCAUAAGAAGCACCGGCUAACUACGUGCCAGCAGCCGCCGUAA